rnacentral:rRNA from 1 species
CCUACGGGGGGCAGCAGUGGGGAAUAUUGCACAAUGGGGGAAACCCUGAUGCAGCGACGCCGCGUGAGUGAAGAAGUCUUUCGGUAUGUAAAGCUCUAUCAGCAGGGAAGAAAAUGACGGUACCUGAUUAAUAAGCCCCGGCUAACUACGUGCCAGCAGCCGCGGUCAUACGUAGGGGGCAAGCGUUAUCCGGAUUUACUGGGUGUAAAGGGAGCGUUGACGGGAAAAAAAGACUGGGGUGAAAUGCCGGGGCUUAACCCCGGAACUGCUUUGGAAACUGUGAAGCUAGAGUGCAGGAGAGGUAAGUGGAAUUCCUAGUGUAGCGGUGAAAUGCGUAGAUAUUAGGAGGAACACCAGUAGCGAAGGCGGCUUACUGGACUGUAACUGACGUUGAGGCUCGAAAGCGUGGGGAGCAAACAGGAUUAGAUACCCGUGUAGUC